rnacentral:misc_RNA from 1 species
GCUGGCUGUGUCUCUCGAUUUAUGAGUUUGGUUUAGUUUAAAUGUAACGAGAUUGAGAUUUGUUGGGUGAAGUUUUUAUGGAUCAUAUCUUAUUUAGAGAAGGUGAUUUUGAGGUCGAUCUUGAGAGCUGUAGGAGUACGAGUGGAGAAGCCGGAAAUAAUAAUUCUACUUUGGAUGCUAAAGCAGGGAAUGUACUUUUCACUAGUGUCUGUAAUGGAGAUGGUGAACAACUUUCUAAAGCUGAAAAUGGAUUGAAUAUGAAAAACCAUACACAGGAUGGAGAUGAGCUUACUCAGGGGAGUGUUAGUGUGUUUAUAGACGAGGCAAGUUUAGUAGAGAAGAAAAAAAUCAAAGAAAAACGUAAAUCCACGAGUGCUAAGAAGCCUCCCAAACCUCCUAGACCUCCCAGAGGAUUGUCAUUGGAUGCUGCUGACCAGAAAUUGAUUAAAGAGAUUGCGGAACUCGCAAUGAUUAAACGUGCACGGAUUGAGCGAAUGAAGGCUUUGAAGAAAAUGAAAGCAGUAAAAGCGUCACCGCCUUCAUCAGCACUGAAUGGCAGUUCCCUUGCAUUGCUCUUUACUAUUUUUUUCUUUUUUGUGCUAUUGUUUCAAGGGAUAUCAUAUAGAAGUUCAACUAUGAACUUUUAUGAUUCAGUCCAACCGGGCGGGGUAAGGGAGAAUAGGUUCAUUAUUGUACAGGGAAACUCUAAUUUAUCCACCAGUGCUGCCAGCAUCGCGGGGUCUGGCUCUUCUGAUUCAGUGGAGCAGGCUUCUGGUUUAACUCAUGGAGUAGUCCGAAAAGUAUCACAAGCUGAAAUUCAGUGACAUUGUCAAACCAUGCAAAUAUGAAUACGAUCGCCACUAUGUUUCUGGUACACACUGUGCCUGCCUGAAGAAGUUCUAUGUAAGUGACUCGGCACGACUGCCUAAUUUGUAUACCCUGUACAGUGAUUGAUACUGGUUGAUUGAGAUGAAUAACCACUAUGCCUGGCAUAGCACUCUUAAGGAUGGGUCGGAAUUGCUAAUCACUAGCUAGUCUUAAAUUGGAAAAUAGCUUUCUAAGCCUAAUUUCUGUGUUGUUCUGAGUAGACAAAUGUUAUGAUAUUUGGACUAGUUAAAUGGUGCAUACUACACUCACAACGAGAACCGUGUAACUCGGAUCAACCAUUUUAACUUGUUUACUAACCGUAUCUUGUUUGA